AUCCAACAUUGGAGUAAAAAGUUAUGCCCAAUUUACUUCAGCAUAUCAGUCUGUGUCAACUGAGGGACUACUGCGACUUUUUUUGUUUCUUUAAGGGUAUUUUAGUCUUUUCCUCAAUCCCAAUCCACCCAAACAUCCCAUUUAAGCCUCUUGCAAGCAUUUUAUACUUAGAUUCAUCAAAGUUCUUCUCAACCCAAAACCCUUAGCUCCAACAUUCAAUAUCAACAAUUCAAGACAAGUCUAAGAUUUCUAAGGAAACGAAUCAAGAUUCGAGUUCUACUCUUUAGUCUAAGUAAUCUAAGGAUACGAGACACAGUCCUGCAGUCUCAUAUAGCAGUAGAUCCGUGCGUGUCAAAAGUUGCAGUUGAUGAGCCUCCUCUAUUCCAGAAGGCCUGAAUUUCAGAUUUCAUUGGUUCUAUCCCUUUCUAUGAUGUGCUGGGGCCUUGUCCCAAUUUUGUCUCAGUCUUCAGAGCUUAUUUUCAGUAGAGAUUUCACAGACUAAUGUUGGAUGUUGUUAAUCUUAUGAACUCAUUUCAUUAUUGUGUAGUUAAAAGAAGAGUUGACCGUGAUUUCGUUGUAAUAUUUUUCCGCAUUUUUCCUUAUUGUAUAUGAAUGGUGUUCAUGAUCGCCAAUAGAAAGGGGCGCCCGGGCCUUAAUGGUUCGGGAUGCUCGUCGCGGCCAGGGCCUCGGCUCGGGUCGUGAUAAACUUGGUAUCAGAGCACGGUUCAUGGUCCCAGGAUGUCUAUGAAAUCGUGUCUAGUAGAGUCUUGCUUAUGGGUGUGUUGUGCACCACACUUGUAAUCAGGAGGCUGCCGGGCAUUUAGGAGUUGCUUCUUAUUC